GACGAACGCUGGCGGCGUGCUUAACACAUGCAGGUCGAACGGAAAGGCCCUGCUUUUGCGGGGUGCUCGAGUGGCGAACGGGUGAGUAACACGUGAGUAACCUGCCCUUGACUUUGGGAUAACUUCAGGAAACUGGGGCUAAUACCGGAUAGGAGCUCCUGCUGCAUGGUGGGGGUUGGAAAGUUUCGGCGGUUGGGGAUGGACUCGCGGCUUAUCAGCUUGUUGGUGGGGUAGUGGCUUACCAAGGCUUUGACGGGUAGCCGGCCUGAGAGGGUGACCGGCCACAUUGGGACUGAGAUACGGCCCAGACUCCUACGGGAGGCAGCAGUGGGGAAUAUUGCACAAUGGGCGGAAGCCUGAUGCAGCAACGCCGCGUGCGGGAUGACGGCCUUCGGGUUGUAAACCGCCUUCGCCUGUGACGAAGCGUGAGUGACGGUAAUGGGUAAAGAAGCACCGGCUAACUACGUG
rnacentral:rRNA from 1 species